CCAGGACUGGCUCGAGCAGGAGAUGAAGCAAGUCUGCAGUGACAAGCUAGAUAUAAUGGGGAAGAAAAUUGGCUAUCCAGAAUAUAUAGAGUCCACUGAGCUCUUGGAUGCUGAAUUUGAAGGGUUGGAUAUACUGGAGGAUCACUUCUUGAAUAACAUCUUGAGGAUGAAGAAACAUGAAGUGUGGAAGGAUGUACAAAAACUUUCUCGACCAGUCGACAAAAAAAGGUACUG